UACGAAGGGGGCUAGCGUUGUUCGGAAUUACUGGGCGUAAAGGGCGCGUAGGCGGCGUGUCAAGUCAGGCGUGAAAGCCCCGGGCUCAACCUGGGAACCGCGCUUGAGACUGGCAUGCUCGAGUUCGGGAGAGGAUGGUGGAAUUCCCAAUGUAGAGGUGAAAUUCGUAGAUAUUGGGAAGAACACCGAUGGCGAAGGCAGCCAUCUGGACCGACACUGACGCUGAGGCGCGAAAGCGUGGGGAGCAAACAGG
rnacentral:rRNA from 1 species